UACGUAGGGGGCAAGCGUUGUCCGGAAUCAUUGGGCGUAAAGAGCUCGUAGGCGGUCUGUUGCGUCCGCUGUGAAAACUCGGGACUUAACCCCGAGCUUGCAGUGGAUACGGGCAGACUAGAGGUAGGUAGGGGAGAAUGGAAUUCCCGGUGUAGCGGUGAAAUGCGUAGAGACCUGGAAGAACACCAAAGGCGAAGGCAGCAUCCUGGGAAGUUCCUGACGCUCGGGUGCGAAAGCCAGGGGAGCGAACGGG
rnacentral:rRNA from 1 species